AGUGAACGCUGGCGGUAGGCCUAACACAUGCAAGUCGAACGGCAGCACAGUAAGAGCUUGCUCUUACGGGUGGCGAGUGGCGGACGGGUGAGGAAUACAUCGGAAUCUACUUUUUCGGGGGGGAUAACGUAGGGAAACUUACGCUAAUACCGCAGACGACCUACGGGUGAAAGCAGGGGAUCUUCGGACCUUGUGCGAUUGAAUGAGCCGAUGUCGGAUUAGCUAGUUGGCGGGGUAAAGGCCCACCAAGGCGACGAUCCGUAGCUGGUCUGAGAGGAUGAUCAGCCACACUGGAACUGAGACACGGUCCAGACUACUACGGGAGGCAGCAGUGGGGAAUAUUGGACAAUGGGCGCAAGCCUGAUCCAGCCAUACCGCGUGGGUGAAGAAGGCCUUCGGGUUGUAAAGCCCUUUUGUUGGGAAAGAAAAGCAGCAGGUUAAUACCCCGCUGUUCUGACGGUACCCAAAGAAUAAGCACCGGCUAACUUCGUG
rnacentral:rRNA from 1 species